rnacentral:rRNA from 1 species
ACUCCUACGGGAGGCAGCAGUGGGGAAUAUUGCACAAUGGGCGCAAGCCUGAUGCAGCCAUGCCGCGUGUAUGAAGAAGGCCUUCGGGUUGUAAAGUACUUUCAGCAGUGAGGAAGGUGGAUAAUGUUAAUAGGCAUAUCAUUUGACGUUACUGCAGAAGAAGCACCGGCUAAACUCCGUGCCAGCAGCCGCGGUAAUACGGAGGGUGCGAGCAGUUAAUUCGGAAAUUA